UGGGCCAUGUUCGAGCACAUGAUCGGUGCUCAUUGCUGGUUUCUGUAUUAGUUUUCCAAAUUGUUGAAUGCUCAAGAUGCAAACAAGAGUUCACAAUGGGUUGCGAACAGCAAUCGAAUUACUCUUUCAAGUAAGAAUCUACACAAUAUUCAGAUUUCUCCAAAAUCCUAAUCAGCAUUGUACCAAUAUAUACACAUCAUAUAAUUUGGUCAA